rnacentral:rRNA from 1 species
AUACGUAUGGUGCAAGCGUUAUCCGGAUUUACUGGGUGUAAAGGGAGUGUAGGUGGUCUGACAAGUCAGAGGUGAAAGCCCGGGGCUCAACCCCGGUACUGCAUUGGAAACUGUCGUGCUAGAGUGUCGGAGGGGUAAGCGGAAUUCCUAGUGUAGCGGUGAAAUGCGUAGAUAUUAGGAGGAACACCAGUGGCGAAGGCGGCUUACUGGACGAUAACUGACGCUGAGGCUCGAAAGCGUGGGGAGC